rnacentral:rRNA from 1 species
UACGUAGGGGGCAAGCGUUGUCCGGAUUCAUUGGGCGUAAAGAGCGUGUAGGCGGCCAGGUAGGUCGGUUGUGAAAACUGGAGGCUCAACCUUCAGAGGUCGACCGAAACCAUCUGGCUAGAGUCCGGGAGAGGAGAGUGGAAUUCCUGGUGUAGCGGUGAAAUGCGCAGAUAUCAGGAAGAACACCCGUGGCGAAAGCGGCUCUCUGGAACGGUACUGACGCUGAGACGCGAAAGCGUGGGGAGGCAAACAGG